AUCCACUCAGAGCUGCGCCUCCUGAACCUGGUGUUUCACCAUCCAUGGACGCUCCUCACGCCAUCUGGGUGUCGGGGACGGUGACCUGUGGAUGCACCUCACCCGCCUGUGACUCUGAGGACCCCUCUGCCCUCUCUGGAGGGGGAUACAUCCGCCUCAUUGGUGUCAGGCAUGGACACGUGGCCUUUUGGCCAGUGGAAUGUGGGGGGACUGCCGUUUGCCACACCCGACCAUCAGCUUCAGGAGUCGCCAGCGUCUCCACCGCAGCUCACUCUCACCCUUCAUCUGAGACAGAACGUCCCUGUGGAGCUGAUCCUGCCACCAGACUGAGAACAGCGACAGCCAGCCUGUUGCUGCCGACACGAAGUUUGAGCGAGGUGUGGCCGUGUGUGGGUGAAGGCUACGGAGGUGGGGCUGUCUGUUACCGCAGCCGAGCUGACCGAGACACAGGCAGGAUGAGCUUCAUCCGUGAUGCACUGACGCUUAUUCAAACUGACCUUAUCGCAGUGUGAUUUAUGGACAAUAACAUGCGCACGUUUCAGGUGGACAUUUCACCAUGUGAACCUGUGCCUUUGUGUCUCCAGUCAAGAUGCAGAACGUUUCCAUCUCUUCGUAUCUCUUUAAAAUCUGUUCUCCCCACCCCUCAACUCAGUCACUGAUGGAUUUCUAUCAUUAUAGGAUUAGUCUCGCCACUUUUGGAACUUCAUAUAAAUACAGUCACUG
ensembl:lncRNA